GGCAGCAGUGGGGAAUAUUGCACAAUGGGCGCAAGCCUGAUGCAGCCAUGCCGCGUGUAUGAAGAAGGCCUUCGGGUUGUAAAGUACUUUCAGCAGUGAGGAAGGUGGGUAUGUUAAUAGCAUACUCAUUUGACGUUAGCUGCAGAAGAAGCACCGGCUAACUCCGUGCCAGCAGCCGCGGUAAUACGGAGGGUGCGAGCGUUAAUCGGAAUUACUGGGCGUAAAGCGCAUGCAGGUGGUUUGUUAAGUCAGAUGUGAAAGCCCGGGGCUCAACCUCGGAAUUGCAUUUGAAACUGGCAAACUAGAGUACUGUAGAGGGGGUAGAAUUUCAGGUGUAGCGGUGAAAUGCGUAGAGAUCUGAAGGAAUACCGGUGGCGAAGGCGGCCCCCUGGACAGAUACUGACACUCAGAUGCGAAAGCGUGGGGAGCAAACAGGAUUAGAUACCCUGAUAG
rnacentral:rRNA from 1 species